ACCCGAACCCAGAAAACCUCUACUCUGUUCUGUUUCCAUCUCCCAGGACGAGGACCAAGGGUUGGACUUUGGGAGACAAAAAAAAAGGAAAGUUCUGGGCUGUUCCUCCGCCAUUCCGUCAGCUUCUUCUCGUCAGGGAUGUCUCGGGUGAUCUGUGGAAGAGAAGAAAAGAACAGGGAAAACAUUGGAUUAGCCACAUGUUUGGAAGAUAGAUCUGUGGGUGGUACGAAUAGAUCUGGACCACUGUCUGCAGCCUGGCGAGGAACUUGGAAAGGAGACAUGGUGGCCCUUGGGUUGUUUGCCAUAGCGUAU